CUGACGAGUCCUUUACUGACGCUAAAGCUCGAAGGUGCGGGUAUCGAACAGGACUAGAUACCCUGGUAGUCCGCACGGUAAACGAUGGAUGCCCGCUGUUGGCGAUACAAUGUCAGCGGCCAAGCGAAAGCGUUAAGCAUCCCACCUGGGGAGUACGCCGGCAACGGUGAAACUCAAAGGAAUUGACGGGGGCCCGCACAAGCGGAGGAACAUGUGGUUUAAUUCGAUGAUACGCGAGGAACCUUACCCGGGCUUGAACUGCCAGCGGACGAUUCAGAGAUGAUGAGGCCCUUCGGGGCGCUGGUGGAGGUGCUGCAUGGUUGUCGUCAGCUCGUGCCGUGAGGUGUCGGCUUAAGUGCCAUAACGAGCGCAACCCCUUUCUUCAGUUGCCAUCAGGCAAUGCUGGGCACUCUGGAGACACUGCCGCCGUAAGGUGCGAGGAAGGUGGGGAUGACGUCAAAUCAGCACGGCCUGACGUCCGGGGCUACACACGUGUUACAAUGGGUGGUACAGAGAGCCGGCCGUGCGCAAGUGCGGUCCAAUCAGGAAAGCCAUCCUCAGUUCGGAUUGGGGUCUGCAACCCGACCCCAUGAAGCUGGA
rnacentral:rRNA from 1 species